GACGAACGCUGGCGGCGUGCUUAACACAUGCAAGUCGAACGGAAAGGCCUGCUUUCCCUUGUGGAUUGCGGGUACUCGAGUGGCGAACGGGUGAGUAACACGUGAGUGAUCUGCCCCCAACUUGGGUAUAAGCCUGGGAAACUGGGUCUAAUUCCCGAUAGGACUGCAGGGUGGUGCCUGUGGUGGAAAACGAUUUUCUAGUGGUUGGGGGUGAGCUCGCGGCCUAUCAGCUUGUUGGUGUGGUAAUGGCCUACCAAGGCGGCGACGGGUAGCCGGCCUGAGAGGGUGGACGGGCACAUUGGGACUGAGAUAAGGCCCCGACUCCGACGGGAGGUAGCAGUGGGGAAGAUUGCACAAUGGGCGGAAGCCUGAUGCAGCGCCGCCGGGUGGGGGAUGACGGCCUUCGGGUUGUAAACUACUUUCGACCGAGAGGAAGCCACCUGGUUGGAAGGGUGGUGACGGUAGUGGUAGAAGAAGCACCGGCUAACUACGUG
rnacentral:rRNA from 1 species